rnacentral:rRNA from 1 species
UACGUAGGGCGCAAGCGUUGUCCGGAAUUACUGGGCGUAAAGAGCUCGUAGGUGGCCUGUCGCGUCGGCUGUGAAAACUCGGGGCUCAACUCCGAGCUUGCAGUCGAUACGGGCAGGCUAGAGUUCGGCAGGGGAGACUGGAAUUCCUGGUGUAGCGGUGAAAUGCGCAGAUAUCAGGAGGAACACCGGUGGCGAAGGCGGGUCUCUGGGCCGAUACUGACACUGAGGAGCGAAAGCGUGGGGAGCGAACGG